AUUGAACGCUAGCGGGAUGCUUUACACAUGCAAGUCGAACGGAGUGGCGGACGGGUGAGUACUAUAUCGGAAAGUGCCCAGUAGAGGGGGAUAACUACUCGAAAGAGUGGCUAAUACCGCAUACUAUUAGAGCGGCCGGUAUCGGAUUAGCUAGGUGGUGGGGUAAAGGCUCCACAAGGCAACGAGCCGUAGCUGGUUGGAGAGGACGACCAGCCACACUGGGACGUAGACACGGCCCAGACUCCUACGGGAGGCAGCAGUGUGGAAUUUUGGACAAUGUGGGAAACCCUGAUCCAGCCAUCCCGCUUGUAUGAUGAAGUCCUUCGUGUUGUAAAGUACUUUUGGCAGAGAAGCGGUAUCUGCAGAAUAAGCACCGGCUAACUACGUGCCAGCAGCCGCGGUAAUUC
rnacentral:rRNA from 1 species